rnacentral:rRNA from 1 species
UACGUAGGGGGCAAGCGUUGUCCGGAUUUAUUGGGCGUAAAGAGCGUGUAGGCGGUUUGGUAGGUCCGCUGUGAAAACUCGAGGCUCAACCCCGAGACGCCGGUGGAAACCAUCAGACUAGAGUCCGGAAGAGGAGAGUGGAAUUCCUGGUGUAGCGGUGAAAUGCGCAGAUAUCAGGAAGAACACCCGUGGCGAAGGCGGCUCUCUAGUACGGUACUGACGCUGAGACGCGAAAGCGUGGGGAGCGAACAGG